UAUGUGAUCGUCUCUCGCAUAUCAAUAAGCGGAGGAAAAGAAACUAACAAGGAUUCCCCUAGUAACGGCGAGUGAAGCGGGAAGAGCUCAAAUUUGAAAUCUUAAAGGGUUUCCCUUUACGAAUUGUAGUUUAAAGAAGUGUUUUCUGUUGAGGUUUUGGUAAAAGUUCUUUGGAAUAGGACAUCAUAGAGGGUGAGAAUCCCGUAUUUGACCUUUACUUUCAACUUUGUGAUACACUUUCAAAGAGUCGGAUUGUUUGGGAAUGCAGUCCAAAAUGGGUGGUAAAUUUCAUCUAAAGCUAAAUAUUGGCGAGAGACCGAUAGCGAACAAGUACCGUGAGGGAAAGAUGAAAAGAACUUUGAAAAGAGAGUUAAACAGUACGUGAAAUUGUCAAAAGGGAAGCGUUUGACACCAGUGUUGUUUUUCUGAAAAUCAAUUAAAGAACUGUUUAUGCUAAGUUGUUUAGACUUUAUCAGCUAACUGUUUAGUUUUGAGCUUUUCUUUAAUGCACUUUUCAGUUAACAAGUCAACAUCAAUUUCUUUUGCUGUAAAAAAGCUUGAGGAAGGUGGCUUGAGAUUCGUCUUAAGUGUUUAUAGCCUCUUGCCUAUGCAGUCGGAGAGAUUGAGGUCUGCAGCGUAGAUCCUUCGGGGCUAAAUGCAUUUGUGCUAAGUUAUAACAUUUUAUAGACAACUUGUUGACUAUGAUUUGCCUUGUAGCUUACUCGCUUAUGUUAUUUUACCUACACUUAGGAUGUUGAGUAGCGACAUACGCAC
rnacentral:rRNA from 1 species